CCCACCCCCGGGGCGGGCCAGGCCUGCUGUGCUGCAGUUCAAUCACCCGCGGCCUUCGGGCUGAGCUGCCUCACUGCGCAGGCGCGGAGGUGCGCACCUGCUCCUUUGAGAUGCUCAGCUGUGGUUGUUCUUAGCGGCAGGAGGGGUUGGAAGGUCUAGGACACUUGGCUGGGCUGGAGAGCUUCCAGAGGCGCAGAAAGGAAGUCAGAGUCCCAGUGGAGGCAGCUGCAGGAGUCUGCUGGAAACAUCUGGAAGGAUAUCAGGUGUACACCAGCCUCCCCUCUCUCUGUGUGGUUUCUCUGUGCUCUCCCUUCUCAUCUGCUAGAAUUACACAAGAAGCAGGUGUGGUUCUGGUAGAAACAGACUCACCGGAUUUUACAAGAAAGAAAGAAAGACCCUCCACAAAGCUCCGGUCCUCCCUUAAAGCACAAAGCUUUGUGGGGGUGUCCUUGGUGACUUCUCCAGUCUGGAUGGUCUCGUUGGACGAGACGGUCUCCAGCAGGUACCAAGAGAAACGGGCACACAGCUCUGUCAGGCGGGAAGCAGAGUGAUCGGGAGACGGGACCGCCCGGGGCCCCACCGCCCGGCGCGCUUGGCAAACUCGGCUCCGUGCCUGCCUUGGGUCAGGCCUUGAGCAGAGGACACCUCCUCCCCCUUCAGGCCCUGGCCCAGGGCAUAGCGUCACCUCCACCUGACGGCCUGCUGCCACCCUCCCCCACAAAACGGAAAAGACCAAGAAGGAGCCGGCAUCCACACCGCUGACGUGCGUGCCAGGGCUUCUGGAGCCAGGCCUGCCCAGAGCGGGUGUGGUUCCUGGUGGUGACUUCCAGGCCAGCCAGGUGACUCUCGCGAAGGCCAGCACCACAGCCCCAGGGCAGCAGCUAUCGGGGACGCGAGCAGAGGGCCUGGCUGACGGGCUCGGCCCCCAAGAUGGGGAUGGGAAAGGCCGCCCAUUGGGAGAGGUGGGCCUUGACCCCCCAGUCCUGUCCAGGCUGGCUCUGCCCUGCUCCCCGGGGCGUGCGCGCACAGCCAUCCAUCAUUUCUGGGCCUCCAGAUUAUUCUGGAGCUGAUUAAAUUAGCAAAUGCAAUCACAAUCUGAAGCAAGUUAAUUGAGAGAAUUUAUUUGGGCCUGACAGUUUUAUGCAUGUUUGAUGAAGUAUUAUAAGGUUUAUUUUUGAUUUUGCAUAAUUUACCUUUAAAUCCUGCACUGGGGGGCCCAUCAACCAUUAACGACCAAAAUAAACCUCUUUUAAGAUGCAUCUAUUUAUGAUUUAUUUCUGAAUGCAAUAUCCUCCAGAUUUUUUUGGUGCUGUUGCCAAACUGACAAAUAUGUUAAAAGUAACAUUUUGAGCCAUUGCAUUCACCCUAUAAAUCUUCUGGAAUGUAUACAAUUCAUUAAAAGUUUUGAACGAA